UGCAGUCGACGGCAGCACAGAGGAGCUUGCUCCUUGGGUGGCGAGUGGCGGACGGGUGAGGAAUACAUCGGAAUCUACUUUGUCGUGGGGGAUAACGUAGGGAAACUUACGCUAAUACCGCAUACGACCUACGGGUGAAAGCAGGGGACCUUCGGGCCUUGCGCGAUUGAAUGAGCCGAUGUCGGAUUAUCUAGUUGGCGGGGUAAAGGCCCACCAAGGCGACUAUCCGUAGCUGGUCUGAGAGGAUGAUCACCCACACUGGAACUGAGACACGGUCCAGACUCCUACGGGAGGCAGCAGUGGGGAAUAUUGGACAAUGGGCGCAAGCCUGAUCCACCCAUACCGCGUGGGUGAAGAAGGCCUUCGGGUUGUAAAGCCCUUUUGUUGGGAAAGAAAUCCAGCUGGCUAAUACCCGGUUGGGAUGACGGUACCCAAAGAAUAAGCACCGGCUAACUUCGUGCCAGCAGCCGCGGUAAUACGAAGGGUGCAAGCGUUACUCGGAAUUACUGGGCGUAAAGCGUGCGUAGGUGGUCGUUUAAGUCCGUUGUGAAAGCCCUGGGCUCAACCUGGGAACUGCAGUGGAUACUGGGCGACUAUAGUGUGGUAGAGGGUAGCGGAAUUCCUGGUGUAGCAGUGAAAUGCGUAGAGAUCAAGAGGAACAUCCAUGGCGAACGCAGCUACCUGGACCAACACUGACACUGAGGCACGAAAGCGUGGGGAGCAAACAAGAUUAGAUACCCUGGUAGUCCACGCCCUAAACGAUGCGAACUGGAUGUUGGGUGCAAUUUGGCACGCACUAUCGAAGCUAACGCGUUAGUUCGCCGCCUGGGGAGUACGUCGCAGACUGAAACUCAAAGGAAUUGACGGGGCCCGCACAAGCGGUGGAGUAUGUGGUUUAAUUCGAUGCAAC
rnacentral:rRNA from 1 species